rnacentral:rRNA from 1 species
UUUGAUAAAGUUACUAAGGGCGUACGGAGGAUGCCUUGGUACAUGGAGUCGAUGAAGGGCGUGGUAAGCUGCGAUAAGCUUCGGGGAGGUGCAAACAACCUUAAAUCCGGAGAUUUCCGAAUGGGGCAACCCGAUCCGGGUUAUGCCGGAUCACUCCUGCCUGAAUACAUAGGGCAGGUUGAGACAACGGGGCGAACUGAUACAUCUAAUUAACCCCAGGAACAGAAAAUAAUCAUGAUUUCCUAAGUAGCGGCGAGCGAACAGGAAAGAGCCUAAACCAUUGAUGUGUCAAGCUCAUGAGUUUUGCAUCAGUGGGGUUGUGGGACCAAUCUGGAACCUGUCAUGACGGGUUCGGCAAGUCAAAAAGAAUAUCAUUAAAUGAAGUGGCAUGGAAAGGCCAGCCGUAGAAGGUGAUAGCCCUGUAAUUGAAAAUGAUAUUCCUUGCUGGGAUUGGCACCCGAGUAACACGGGACACGAGAAAUCUUGUGCGAAUCUGCCAGGACCAUCUGGUAAGGCUAAAUACUCCCAUGUAACCGAUAGUGAACCAGUACCGUGAGGGAAAGGUGAAAAGUACUCCUAACGGAGAGUGAAAUAGAACCUGAAACCGUAUGCCUACAAGCGGUCAGAGCUCCGAUUUGUUCGGGGUGAUGGCGUGCCUUUUGCAUAAUGAGCCAGCGAGUUGCUCGUAUGUUGCAAGGUUAAGGCCCAAAGGCCGGAGCCGAAGCGAAAGCAAGUCUGAAUAGGGCGAUUAGUAACAUGCGGCAGACCCGAAACCGAGUGAUCUAACCAUGGUCAGGCUGAAGUUCCGGUAACACGGAAUGGAGGGCCGAACCCACCAGCGUUGAAAAGCUGGGGGAUGAACUGUGGUUAGGGGUGAAAGGCCAAUCAAACUCGGAGAUAUCUGGUUCUCACCGAAAUGCCUUUAGGGGCAGCGUCACGUUAGUGUAUCGGGGGUAGAGCACUGAAUGGGCUAGGGGGCCUACAAGCUUACCAACCCCAAUCAAACUCCGAAUACCGAAUACAUGAUGCGUGGCAGUGAGGCUGCGGGGGAUAAGCUUCGUAGCCGAGAGGGAAACAACCCAGACCAUCAGCUAAGGUCCCUAAAUUAAUGCUAAGUGAUAAAGGAUGUAAAAUCGCCCAGACAGCUAGGAGGUUGGCUUAGAAGCAGCCAUCCUUUAAAGAAAGCGUAACAGCUCACUAGUCAAGGGGUUUUGCGCCGAUAAUAUCCGGGACUAAGCAUUGUACCGAAGCUAUGGAUUUCCGCUUUGCGGAAGUGGUAGGUGAGCGUUCCAUUAACUUGUGAAGGUUGACCCGUGAGGGCAGCUGGAGGAGAUGGAAAUGAGUAUGCUGGCAUGAGUAGCGAUAAAGCCCGUGAAAUUCGGGCUCGCCGAAAGCUCAAGGUUUCCUGAGUAAAGUAACUCUGCUCAGGGUUAGUCGGACCCUAAGCCGAGGCCGAAAGGCGUAGGCGAUGGAAAACGGGUUUAAUAUUCCCGUACCGGUAUAGGAUUGUUUGAGUGAUGGGGGGACGCAGAAGUGAAAGGUCAUCCCGGUUUUGAUAGUCCGGGUUUAAGUGUGUAUGGGGUUCUGGCAGGAAAAUCCGCCGGAACUUUACCCAGAGGCACGAAUAGGAGGGCCUAGCCCACAAACUGACCCUAAUCAUACUGCCAAGAAAAGCCUCUAAACGAGAUCCUAGACCGACCGUACCGUAAACGGACACACGUGAGCGAGGAGAGAAUCCUAAGGCGCUUGAGAGAAUUCAAGUAAAGGAACUAGGCAAAUUAGCCCCGUAACUUCGGGAGAAGGGGUGCCCUUAUUAUGUGAAGGACUUCGCGUCCGGAGCAGAAAGGGGUCGCAGCGACCAGGCCCAAACGACUGUUUACUAAAAACACAGGUCUAUGCUAAGUCGUAAGACGAAAUAUAUGGACUGACACCUGCCCGGUGCUGGAAGGUUAAAUGGAGAGGUUAGUCCCGAUUUAUCGGGACGAAGCUUUGAAAUGAAGCCCCAGUAAACGGCGGCCGUAACUAUAACGGUCCUAAGGUAGCGAAAUUCCUUGUCGGGUAAGUUCCGACCUGCACGAAUGGUGUAAC